GACGAACGCUGGCGGCGUGCUUAACACAUGCAAGUCGAGCGGAAAGGCCCCUUUGGGGGUACUCGAGCGGCGAACGGGUGAGUAACACGUGAGUAACCUGCCCCAGGCUUUGGGAUAACCCUCGGAAACGGGGGCUAAUACCGGAUAGGACCUGCUGCCGCAUGGUGGUGGGUGGAAAGUUUUUUCGGCUUGGGAUGGGCUCGCGGCCUAUCAGCUUGUUGGGGGGGUGAUGGCCUACCAAGGCGACGACGGGUAGCCGGCCUGAGAGGGCGACCGGCCACACCGGGACUGGGACACGGCCCAGACUCCUACGGGAGGCAGCAGUGGGGAAUAUUGCACAAUGGGCGCAAGCCUGAUGCAGCGACGCCGCGUGAGGGAUGACGGCCUUCGGGUUGUAAACCUCUUUCAGCAGGGACGAAGCCUUUUGGGGUGACGGUACCUGCAGAAGAAGCGCCGGCCAACUACGUGCCAGCAGCCGCCGUAAAAC
rnacentral:rRNA from 1 species